GGCGCUUUCAAUAGAGACAGACGUGACCUGGCAGAAGAGCAGGUCCCGCCUCCAGGUGUUUGGGACUCUGCUGAGGAUGUGGGUCCCUGCGGUGGGAGCUGAAACGUCCUGGGGUGUGGGGAGACAAAGGGUCCAGAUCCAAGUCGCCUCUUUCCUGCUUUGAGACUCGGUGCCUCGGCUGUGUCCUGAGACAGAAACAUGGGCCCUUGGGGUCCCGCCUGGCCCAGUCCUAGGAAGAAGAAAUUGUACAGAAGAGAAAGAAUAAUAACAAGUCAGCUAGACAGAAGAUAGGAGUCAUCAAACAUGUGUCUCAGUAGCCAGACCCAUCAACUGAACACAGGACCUUGGGUGAGUCCUUUCCCCUAUGUGCUGACCUCAGUCCUAAUGUAAAAAGGUACUCAAUAUAGAAACAAUGGUCAGAAGGAUG
rnacentral:lncRNA from 1 species